CUGAAGAGGGUUUGCCAGCUGAGCAGACACCCGCCCCGUGGCCCCAGGGCGGAGCUCGAGGGUGUGAUGAGGAGCCCAAAGGCUGGGCGAGGGCGGGCAUUGAGGGAAGGGGCACCUGAGAGGAGAUGCUGGGCCCCUGCGGCUCGGUCAUGGCACAAGCCUGUGGCUCGAGGACUCCUGACACUGGUGUCCGUGAGUCGGGCACCCUUCCGCAUCGUCUCAAGGAUCCGGCUUGAGGGCUUCUCCGAUUCUCCAAGGGACCUGAGACAAGUGAAAUGCAGAAGUUGGGAUCCCCGGCUGGUGUCCGUGGGGGACACUGGGAGGGUCAAGCCACCAAUAAGAACUUGUGCAAUCUGACACUAGUUUCUAGAAAUUAACUGGAAGAUAUUUAUGGAAUUUACUGGAUUUGAAGGAAAUGACAAGAUGUGGAGACACAAACAUCUCGCAAAUCUGGAAAGACUCCUCAGGAGGAGGGAGGGCGUCUGCUGCUGCUGCUGAGUCCCUGCAGCCGUGUCCGACUCUGAUGACCCUAUAGACAGCCUCCCACCAGGCUCCCCCGUCCCUGGGAUUCUCCCGGCAAGAACGCUGGAGUNNNNNNNNNNNNNNNNNNNNNNNNNNNNNNNNNNNNNNNNNNNAGUGAAGUUGCUCAGUCAUGUCCGACUCUCAGCAACCCCAUGGACUGCAGGGAGCGACAUUUCUGUUUUGUGGGCUGUUUUUUUUUUUUUGCUACGUGGCAGAGCAUAUGGGACCUUAGUUCCCCCUGCAGGAAUUGGAACUCCACCCUGCAGUGGAGGCGUGGAGUCUUAGCCACUGGACCACAAGAAAAUCCCUGUGGAGAGAUGUCCCCAAACUCGUGGCUGCCUUCCGUGAAAUGCAGCUGCAGAGAUGGUUGUAGAAUAUUAGAAACAAAUCGGUUGCUGGUAACACCUUAGGUAGGCCUGCAGAGAUGGCCCAGCAAACUCUUUUGGCCCAACGUUGUGACUAUAGCCAGUAUCCUGGAUGGAUGGGAUCUGAGUUUCUUUCCCAGUU
rnacentral:lncRNA from 1 species